rnacentral:rRNA from 1 species
GGAGGUAGUGACAAUAAAUCACAAUGCGGAACAAUGUUUUGCAAUUGGAUUGAGAACAACGUACAAACCUUAUCGAUAAACAAUUGGAGGGCAAGUCUGGUGCCAGCAGCCGCGGUAAUUCCAGCUCCAAUAGCGUAUAUUAACGUUGUUGCAGUUAAAAAGCUCGUAGUUGAAACGAAGGGUGGUGUUGUUGGAUUUACAUUCGUGUAUUUCUUUCAACUCCUCCCUCCUUCUAAAUUCGAUAUAUGAGUAUUAAUUUACUUGUAUAUGGUUUUAGACAUUUACUGUGAGAAAAUUAGAGUGUUCAAAGCAGGCAUUUGCUUGAAUAUAUUAGCAUGGAAUAAUCAUGUAUGAUUUUCAUGAUGUAUUUGAUUGGUUUUGGUCAUGAGAAUAAGAUUAAAAGGGACAGUUGGGGGUAUUCAUAUUCAAUAGUCAGAGGUGAAAUUCUCGGAUUUAUGGAAGAUGAACAAGUGCGAAAGCA